GUAAUUUCAAAGUCUUCCAGAAGUAGCUGUAAUUUCUCAAAUGAUCAAGCAGCUUAGGAGCUUGGAUCCCACUUUCAGAGGCAACAGACACAUUGGAGCCUUAGUUCCUUGAUUUACAAUGCUAUAAUGCUCUUUGCUACCUAAACCAUCCUUAUGGAUGGAGCUUAAGCUCCUACAUCUUUAGAGACUAUUACACUAAAUCAAUCUGUACAUGCUUUUCCCUUAGUUGUUGGGAGUCCUGGUAGAAGUUUGGCAGCCUGUCAGAGACACCUGCACCCACGUGUAAGAAUGGGUACAUUCAACAGGCUAAUGAAUAUUGAACAACGUUAACUCAAGUAAGAUGCAAUGAAUAUACUUAAA
rnacentral:lncRNA from 1 species